rnacentral:rRNA from 1 species
GAUGAACGCUGGCGGCGUGCCUAACACAUGCAAGUCGAACGAAGCACCUUUCUUGAUCCUUCGGGUGAUGGGCUGGUGACUGAGUGGCGGACGGGUGAGUAACGCGUGGGUAACCUGCCCUGUACAGGGGGAUAACAGCUGGAAACGGCUGCUAAUACCGCAUAAGCGCACGAGGGGACAUCCCCUUGUGUGAAAAACUCCGGUGGUACAGGAUGGGCCCGCGUCUGAUUAGCUGGUUGGCGGGGUAACGGCCCACCAAGGCGACGAUCAGUAGCCGGUCUGAGAGGAUGAACGGCCACAUUGGGAACUGAGACACGGUCCAAACUCCUACGGGAGGCAGCAGUGGGGAAUAUUGCACAAUGGGGGAAACCCUGAUGCAGCAACGCCGCGUGAGUGAAGAAGUAUUUCGGGUAUGUAAAGCUCUAUCAGCAGGGAAGAUAAUGACGGUACCUGACUAAGAAGCUCC